CAACCCUCAAGCUCUGCUUGGCGUUGGGGCCCUACGGUUGACGUAGGCCCUCAAAGGUAGUGGCGGACCCUCUCGGAGCCUCCUUUGCGCAGUAACUUUUGUCUCGCACUGGGAUCCGGAGGGGCUUCUGGCCGUAAAACCCCCCAAUUUUACCAAA
rnacentral:misc_RNA from 1 species